UACGUAGGGGGGCAAGCGUUGUCCGGAAUUAUUGGGCGUAAAGAGCGUGUAGGCGGUCCGGUAAGUCAGCUGUGAAAGUCAAGGGCUCAACCCUUGAAUGCCGGUUGAUACUGUCGGGCUAGAGUCCGGAAGAGGCGAGUGGAAUUCCCGGUGUAGCGGUGAAAUGCGCAGAUAUCGGGAGGAACACCAAUGGCGAAGGCAGCUCGCUGGGACGGUACUGACGCUGAGACGCGAAAGCGUGGGGAGCGAACAGG
rnacentral:rRNA from 1 species